rnacentral:rRNA from 1 species
AGUGAACGCUGGCGGUAGGCCUAACACAUGCAAGUCGAACGGCAGCACAGUAAGAGCUUGCUCUUACGGGUGGCGAGUGGCGGACGGGUGAGGAAUACAUCGGAAUCUACUUUUUCGUGGGGGAUAACGUAGGGAAACUUACGCUAAUACCGCAUACGACCUACGGGUGAAAGCAGGGGAUCUUCGGACCUUGCGCGAUUGAAUGAGCCGAUGUCGGAUUAGCUAGUUGGCGGGGUAAAGGCCCACCAAGGCGACGAUCCGUAGCUGGUCUGAGAGGAUGAUCAGACACACUGGAAGUGAGACACGGUCCAGACUCCUACGGGAGGCAGCAGUGGGGAAUAUUGGACAAUGGGAGCAAGCCUGAUCCAGCCAUACCGCGUGGGUGAAGAAGGCCUUCGGGUUGUAAAGCCCUUUUGUUGGGAAAGAAAAGCAGCAGGUUAAUACCCCGCUGUUCUGACGGUACCCAAAGAAUAAGCACCGGCUAACUUCGUG